rnacentral:rRNA from 1 species
UGGGGAAUAUUGGACAAUGGGCGAAAGCCUGAUCCAGCCAUGCCGCGUGUGUGAAGAAGGUCUUCGGAUUGUAAAGCACUUUAAGUUGGGAGGAAGGGCAGUAAGCGAAUACCUUGCUGUUUUGACGUUACCGACAGAAUAAGCACCGGCUAACUCUGUGCCAGCAGCCGCGGUAAUACAGAGGGUGCAAGCGUUAAUCGGAAUUACUGGGCGUAAAGCGCGCGUAGGUGGUUCGUUAAGUUGAAUGUGAAAGCCCCGGGCUCAACCUGGGAACUGCAUCCAAAGCUGGCGAGCUAGAGUAGGGCAGAGGGUGGUGGAAGUUCCUGUGUAGCGGUGAAAUGCGUAGAUAUAGGAAGGAACACCAGUGGCGAAGGCGACCACCUGGGCUCAUACUGACACUGAGGUGCGAAAGCGUGGGGAGCAAACAGG